rnacentral:pre_miRNA from 1 species
UGUCCGCAGGCUGGCGGCCCCCAGGCUGGGCUGGGCGAGUAUCUCUUCGAAAGGCUCACCCUCAAGCAUGACCAGGAGC